rnacentral:rRNA from 1 species
GAUGAACGCUGGCGGCGUGCCUAAUACAUGCAAGUAGAACGCUGAAGGAAGGAGCUUGCUCUUUCCGGAUGAGUUGCGAACGUGUGAGUAACGCGUAGGUAACCUGCCUGGUAGCGGGGGAUAACUAUUGGAAACGAUAGCUAAUACCGCAUAACAGUAGAUGUUGCAUGAUAUCUACUUAAAAGGUGCAAUUGCACCACUACCAGAUGGACCUGCGUUGUAUUAGCUAGUUGGUGAGGUAACGGCUCACCAAGGCGACGAUACAUAGCCGACCUGAGAGGGUGAUCGGCCACACUGGGACUGAGACACGGCCCAGACUCCUACGGGAGGCAGCAGUAGGGAAUCUUCGGCAAUGGACGGAAGUCUGACCGAGCAACGCCGCGUGAGUGAAGAAGGUUUUCGGAUCGUAAAGCUCUGUUGUAAGAGAAGAACGAGUGUGAGAGUGGAAAGUUCACACUGUGACGGUAUCUUACCAGAAAGGGACGGCUAACUACGUG